rnacentral:rRNA from 1 species
GAUAACGUCGGGCCAGCGGCGGCGGUAAUACGAAGGGGGCGAGGGUGGUUCGGAAUUACUGGGCGUAAAGGGCGGUCAGGCGGCUCUGAAAGUCAGAUGUGAAAGCCCCGGGCUUAACCUGGGAAUUGCAUUUGAUACUCUGGAGCUUGAGUACGGGAGAGGAGAGUGGAAUUCCCAGUGUAGAGGUGAAAUUCGUAGAUAUUGGGAAGAACACCGGUGGCGAAGGCGGCUCUCUGGACCGUAACUGACGCUGAGGCGCGAAAGCGUGGGGAGCAAACAGGAUUAGAUACCCUAGUAGUC